UCCCACUGCAACUCCCCUCCCCCUGCUGUUUCCCUACCUGCUGCCCAGAGCGAACGCUGCAGCAGGGACAGGAGGAGCUGCUGGAGGCCGGGGAAGCCAAGCAGGUGCCCUCAGUGGCUACAGCAGUGGCAGCAGCAGCCGCGCCUGGAAGUCCUCUGUGCAUCCUGAUACUGGUGACGUAAUUACGUUUCUAUUUAGACCACCAGUCCUCCUGCCCAUAACUUUUCCACCGGUGUUAUGGCUGCAAUGAAUGUAAGUUCUGUCAGAAAGACCGAGAUGGACAAAGGAAUUGAAGUCAUGGACAAAAAUGGCGAAGUGGUAGGAGUGUCAUGGAAAGCUGGAGACAAGUAAAAGAAAUGGCACUAUCCAAGGAGUCUUGCUCGGGACAGCACUAAUUUCCCAAGGUCAUUUUACACUUCAUAAAAUGCUUCCCACUUCUGCACUGAAUGAAGCAAAGGUUCCUACAGUCAAGUCUGAAUCACUAUACAACACUAAAUCAGUCCCAGAGGAAGUCAACCCCGGGCACUAUAUGAGACAAAGAAUGUGGAAAGACAAUAUGGGAUGAUGCAAUUACAGGUUGCACGAUACAACAUGCACCAGGAGUCCAAAUGAAGGCUGCCUCUGCAAAGUUCAUUCUGGAGAUGCCCAACUUCAAAAACAUAAUGCUUGUUAAGAUAGGUUUGUGUGUAAUCAGUGCCAUACCUGACGGCCCCAAGUGAGCUUUUAGUAUCGGGCCCUCCUGUGCCACAGAUGAUGAAUUUUUGGUUGCAAAAGGUGUUUAUCACAUCUGGUAUCGACGUCUUUAAAUAGUUCGUUCUCAAAUGAUGACACUGCUGGUCCCAUAUAUGCACAAUAUUAAAACUUUUUUUUGCAGUUUUAA